rnacentral:rRNA from 1 species
UACGGAGGGGGGCUAGCGUUGUUCGGAAUUACUGGGCGUAAAGCGCACUAGGCGGCUUUGCAAGUUAGAGGUGAAAGCCCCGGGGCUCAACUCCGGAAUUGCCUUUAAAACUGCAUCGCUAGAAUUGUGGAGAGGUAAGUGGAAUUCCGAGUGUAGAGGUGAAAUUCGUAGAUAUCAGGAGGAACACCUGUGGCGAAAGCGGCUCACUGGACCAUAACUGACGCUGAUGCACGAAAAGCUAGGGGGAGCAAACAGG